ACAGUUAUUUUUUCUUGUCAUGAAUAUUAUAAGACAAUUUUAAAAACUCAUGUAUUUUCUAAAAAUUCAUUAAUAACUUAAUAUCAUUAUUAAAUGAAAAUUUACUCCUCUUAUCACCAUUUGUUCGUUGAAAUUCAGCGCCAUCUGGCAAUGAUUCAAUAAACUUUCUAUCCAAAGCCAAAAAUCUCGCAGCCAGUUGUAAAGAGAUAGGUUUGCAACAUUUGGCAACUUUUCGCUGUUUACAACUGGCUGAGGCGUCGAAAAAUUUCGCCCUGCGCAUGCGCAGUUGCUCAGCCGGUUGUACCCACAGACACAAGUUGCCGUGUACUGUCAUGUGGCGCUGUGACAAAGCUUUUCAACCAUUUUUGUUUACAUUUGAAACUGUGGAUCAAUAAUGCAGUGAAAUGCACCCAAGGAGAAUUAAUGGUUGGAUUUAGUCAAAAGAGGUUCUUGGAAAAGGUUUUGUAGGAUGUGAGAUUUCUCAACCCGUAGCGCAUGCGUAUGCUGAGCAGCACCCUCUGAAUGGCGGAUGGAACCGAAUAAAUAGACGGCAGUCGCGAGGCGUGUAUGGUUAUCUGCUAGUGUUAAACGUUAGCUCAGUUGUUGCUUAUGUCUCGGCGAAAGAGCGAGAUUUCAACAACUUACGGAGUCGAACGCAACAGUCAACGAACACCCGGAGUUAUGGUCUUUGGUGCCAUAGCAUAUCAUAGACGAUCUCAAUUGCUACGAAUUAUGGGUCUUCUGAACAGCAUCUAAUACAUUAGUGAAGUUCUAUAGACCCAAGUUGUUCCCUUCCUUCAAGCCUUGCCAGGCUCUGUAUUUCAACAGGGCAAUGCCCACCCUCAUAUUACUAGGACUGUUAAAUCCUUUCUUGCAUCGCGGCAUGUUCAGCUUCCUCCUUGGCCUGCGUAUUCCCCGAAUAUGUCGCCGGUUGAACAUGUGUGGGAUUUCGUUGGUCGGCGUCUCGCUCGUGAUCCUUGACCUGUUGCUUCUACGGGCGAACUUUGGGCAUGCAUACAAACAAUAUGAAAUGCUCUUCCUCAGACAGACAUUCAAAUUAUCAAGAACUUUUGGACAUUUUAAAGUUUUAGUCUUAGAUUUAGACAUUUAAAAGUAUUAGUCUAAGACUUGAAUAUUUAGUUCAAAAUAUUUUCAGAUUUUAAUAAAAUAAAAAUUUAUUACUUAGUUUUUAAUAAUUUUAUAUAUACUAUAAUUUUUUUUUUGAGAAUCACUUUGCAUAAUUUUAAAUCUGCAACAAGUAUUUGAAACAACCUCUCCGCGCAUGCGCGAACUGUCACGAGUGCUUUUGCAGAGCAGGUGAUGUUUUCAUGUUGAAGAGAACGGCAGCUUUCUCUUUUGCGGGAAUUUUCUCCAAUAUCUACCUUUACCUUUUCUAUGUUAUCUUUGUGUCUAAAUAAACUAAUGAAAAGACA